UACGGGGGGGGCAAGCGUUGUUCGGAAUUACUGGGCGUAAAGGGCUCGUAGGCGGCCAACUAAGUCGGAUGUGAAAUCCCCAGGCUCAACUUGGGAACUGCAUCCGAUACUGGAUGGCUUGAAUUCGGGAGAGGGAUGCAGAAUUCCACGUGUAGCAGUGAAAUGCGUAGAGAUGUGGAGGAAUACCAAUGGCGAAGGCAGCCUCCUGGCCUAAUACUGACGCUCAUGCACGAAAGCGUGGGGAGCAAACAGG
rnacentral:rRNA from 1 species